rnacentral:lncRNA from 1 species
AGCUUACUGUGAUAAUUAUACUUAUAUAUCUUUUCAAAAUAUGUGACAGACUUACAUUACUGCAGGCAGAAAAAAAAAGCAAAAUCAAUAUUUAGUCCAAAAGACUGUACAAAAGUUAGUGUCUAUUUUAAGAUUUCUAUUUUACUUGGCAUUUACAACUCCUAAAAGAUAUACUAGUAAGAAACAUAGUUGAGCCAGCAGUAAAGAAAGCCACUCCAGUAUUACCCUGGUCAGCUCCAGGUACAAUGUGCUUUUGCCUAGGAAACUUCAGGCUCCAAAGAAGCCCUGCACAUCAUCUUUCUAUAUCUAGGGGAGGAGUGAGGCUCACAACAGAACUGAAGAGUCAAUUCCCCAGGCCAGGCCAAGAGAUGAAAAACAGCUUGGUGAAAAGCAUCAAAGACUUGAAGAGAAUGAUUAUUUAA